AACCUUUACAAUGCACGCAAGUGUGAUAAGGGGAUCCCCCGUGCUCAUGCAUUGCAUGGGCUUUUGCUAAGUGUAAAUAGCUUGGCGAAUAAGUGGUGGGUAAGACUGGUGCCAGCCGCCGCGGUAACACCAGCGCCACGAGUGGCAACCGCGUUUAUUGGGCCUAAAGCGUCCGUAGCCGGCCUGGUAAAUCUCUUGUGAAAUUGUCUGGCUUAACUAGACAACGUGCAAGAGACACUGCCAAGCUUGAGACCGGGAGGAGUCAGAAGUAUUCCAGGGGGAGCGGUAAAAUGUUAUAAUCCCUGGAGGACUACCUGUGGCGAAGGCGUCUGACUGGAACGGAUCUGACGGUGAGGGACGAAAGCUAGGGGAGCGAACCGGAUUAGAUACCCGAGUAGUCCUAGCUGUAAACGCUGUGAGCUAGGUGUUGCAUCAACGACAGGUUGAUGCAGUCCC
rnacentral:rRNA from 1 species